rnacentral:rRNA from 2 species
CUUGCUAAAAUAUAAGAGGUCCAGCCUGCCCAGUGACCCAGUUCAACGGCCGCGGUAUCCUAACCGUGCGAAGGUAGCGUAAUCACUUGUUCUUUAAAUGGGGACUAGUAUGAAUGGCAUCACGAGGGUUGAACUGUCUCCUUUCUCUAAUCAGUGAAACUAAUCUCCCCGUGAAGAAGCGGGAAUCAUUUUAUAAGACGAGAAGACCCUAUGGAGCUUAAAACAAAUUGACACAUGCUUCCACCUACUUCAAUUCCUGAAUAAAUAUACAAAAUAUAGCAUCAUUGAUUAAUAGUUUUAGAUUGGGGUGAUCAUGGAGCAAAAAAUAACCUCCACGACGAAAAGGAAUAUUCCCUGAGCCAAAAGCCACAACUUUAAGCACUAAAAAAUUAACGCAUCUUGACCCAAUUUUUUGAGCAACGAAC